CGCUUUCCUAUCAACGCCACAUACAAGUUAGGAUGAAGAUUGCAGCUUUGGCGCUACUCCUAACACUCGCCUUUCUCGUGCUAGCAUCAAAUGCUGAUACGGAACCAACUUGUACGGUCAAAUACCUGAAGAAGUUUGGUGGGUAUUUGAUAGGUGGUUGUCAGGAAGAUUGUCAUCGAAUACUUACGUGCCCUGAGGACAAGGAAUGCAAUUUGGAGGCUGAUAUUGUUGGCAAGAGGUGCAGGUGCACAAUGUGCAUAUACUACUCCAAGGCUCCCAUAAAGGAAACUGUGAUGUUAAGUAACUAAGCUAAUAUCAGUGCAGGUUUGCUAAAACAAUAACAAUGCCAUAUCAUGGGGUGUAUUAGCAUGACUAUUUGCAAUAAAUCUUUAUAGAACAUAAUUCAACGUUA